rnacentral:rRNA from 1 species
AGGACGAACGCUGGCGGCGUGCUUAACACAUGCAAGUCGAGCGGUAAGGCUCCUUCGGGAGUACACGAGCGGCGAACGGGUGAGUAACACGUGAGCAAUCUGCCCUUCACUUUGGGAUAACUUCCGGAAACGGAAGCUAAUACCGAAUACGACCACUUCACGCAUGUGAUGGUGGUGGAAAGUUCCGGCGGUGAAGGAUGAGCUCGCGGCCUAUCAGUCUUGUUGGUGAAGGUAAUGGACUCACCAAGGCUUCGACGGGU